rfam:Triticum aestivum genome assembly, contig: Triticum_aestivum_CS42_TGACv1_scaffold_623532_7DS
CAACUACUCCCUCUAUCCCAAAUUUCUUGUCUUAGAUUUGUCUAGAUACGGAUGUAUCUAAUACUAAAAUGUGACUUGAUACAUCCGUAUCUAGAUAAAUCUAAGACAAGAAUUUUGGGACGGAGGGAGUACUUU